GCGGCAGGCUUAACACAUGCAAGUCGAGGGGUAUAGUUCUUCGGAGCUAGAGACCGGCGCACGGGUGCGUAACGCGUAUGCAAUCUACCUUUUACAGAGGGAUAGCCCAGAGAAAUUUGGAUUAAUACCUCAUAGUAUUAUGAAAUGGCAUCAUUUUAUAAUUAAAGUCACAACGGUAAAAGAUGAGCAUGCGUCCCAUUAGCUAGUUGGUAAGGUAACGGCUUACCAAGGCUACGAUGGGUAGGGGUCCUGAGAGGGAGAUCCCCCACACUGGUACUGAGACACGGACCAGACUCCUACGGGAGGCAGCAGUGAGGAAUAUUGGACAAUGGGCGCAAGCCUGAUCCAGCCAUGCCGCGUGCAGGAUGACGGUCCUAUGGAUUGUAAACUGCUUUUGUACGAGAAGAAACACUCCCACGUGUUGGAGCUUGACGGUAUCGUAAGAAUAAGGAUCGGCUAACUCCGUGCCAGCAGCCGCGGUAAUACGGAGGAUCCAAGCGUUAUCCGGAAUCAUUGGGUUUAAAGGGUCCGUAGGCGGUUUAAUAAGUCAGUGGUGAAAGCCCAUCGCUCAACGGUGGAACGGCCAUUGAUACUGUUAAACUUGAUUAUUAGGAAGUAACUAGAAUAUGUAGUGUAGCGGUGAAAUGCUUAGAGAUUACAUGGAAUACCAAUUGCGAAGGCAGGUUACUACUAAUGGAUUGACGCUGAUGGACGAAAGCGUGGGUAGCGAACAGGAUUAGAUACCCUGGUAGUCCACGCCGUAAACGAUGGAUACUAGCUGUUGGAAGCAAUUUCAGUGGCUAAGCGAAAGUGAUAAGUAUCCCACCUGGGGAGUACGUUCGCAAGAAUGAAACUCAAAGGAAUUGACGGGGGCCCGCACAAGCGGUGGAGCAUGUGGUUUAAUUCGAU
rnacentral:rRNA from 1 species